UUCCACACCUAUCACAAUGACCACUAGU
rnacentral:piRNA from 1 species